AGGAAAUGGAUACUGGUUUAGAGAGAGUCAUAUCCCAACUCUUCUAUCCCUCACUGUUUUUUUUUAGUUUCUGUAUUCCAGUUUCUCCUCCCUCCUCUUCCUCUUAUGUAACUUUAGAGUUUCAGAGACGGAUGGAUAUGAAUUCAUCAAAUCAAGACGGCGGUGACGACAAUGAUGUGGUUGAUGUAAAUUUGUGGUGUGGUGGGACAAUCAGCGACUGGUCAGGCAAUGAACCCAGGUACAACGGUGGUUUGAAUAUGUUCCAAAAGGUGUGAAAAUCCAUGUCUGUGGCUGACUGUACGAAGAUGGUGUAUUAGUUGUUCCAGAUGAACCCUGCCAAGCGUUACAAAAUCUACUCCAAGGUCUUGAUUAGUGUAGGGGCUUUUAUUUUUGUUGACAUUUCAAACUCUUCAACCAUCGCGGAUCUUGUGAACCAAGAAAUUCCUGGCCUUACCAGCUCUUUUUCCAUUUUCACUGAAGAGGUAACUAGUGAAGAUGAUGUAAGUGUAUCUGGUUUCCAUGAGGGUACAAUUGCGAGCCGCUGUUUUUUUAGGGGUCCUAACAGUCCUUUACCCCUGGUCCCCCGUUGCGAUGAGACCCCAGUAAAUGGAGAUCCUGUCAUCCGGUAUAUUUAUAGGUUUUCUUUGCCUUGAUUACUCUAAGCACUUGUGUCUCUAAUGCUUACUGAACAUAUAAUUAGUUUUGCAGCAAAGGAGCUGGCCCAGCAUUUGUGUUUGAGUAUUUGUUUUAUGACAUCCAGGUUUAGAAAUGAGCAUUAAGAAUUACGAAUUUUGAUUUCCAUUGUUUAUUACUCUUUAUUUCAAUGCUUAGUAUUUUCUUGAAAUUGUUUGUUUUUGAAAUUUUUCCGUGAACAUGUAUUCAUCAUGACUAUUAUUGUGUGCAGAGAUGCAUAGUAACACGGAAAUGCAAUAGCUUCACAAUACCUUACAUAUGGUUGUAUCUUCUUCUGCAAUUGAACAGAAGAAGAUCAAAUUCUAGAUGAGAAGUCUUUAAGAUAGUGGUUUUGAUGCUGAUGAUGACAUAGUUGAUGUUCAUUCUUUUAUGAAACCCCUUGUGUCUGCACUAAUACACACAUUUGAAAAUUGUUGGGGUGUUCCUGCACAUGUUUGAAUUAUGCUGUCUUUUGUGCUUGAUAUGGAUGUUGAGACUCACUCUUGCAUCAUCAGAAACCUUAUACAUAACUGUAGAUAGAUUGUUAGGGAAAUGGUCAAUGAGAAAAGCUUCAGACAUGAAUAAGGUAUCUGACGGUGUAAGAGAAGUGUUGACUGUUGGCGAUGACACUUGGAGAAUAAUCUGAAAAGGAGGAUACUAGUGUUUCAGCCAUUUUGAUAUAUGCUGGAUGGUUGAUACCUUGAUGUGAAAGAGAAGGAGAAUGAAUAAGGUUUCAGUUGUUUCAUUGUGUACAACGAAAGCGUUCUAUUACCUACACAGUGAAUGACAAAGAGCACAAUGAUCCAGUUAAUAUUAUGUUUAUUAAAUGCUGGAAUUGGACUCUGUUUGAAGAACUGGUUGACAAUGGUAGGAUCUAUGAAGCUGGAGAUGGUACUUCUUAUAUAAAUUAAUAUUUGUCAGUGCAUGUUCGUUUAGUCGCUACCCAUGUCUUUGUAUUGUUCAUGUAGAAUUUAGCUCCUAUGAAUAUCUGCCCAUGUGAAUAAUCAAUGUUGUGACUGCCAUGAAACCAUUGUGGAGUUGAGUGUACUAUUUACGUUUGAAUUGUUAAGGUGUAAAGCCCAAUUAUGCA